GAUACUUAUUCCUGUGUCUGCAUUGCUCCCCUGGUGGGUCCAAACUGUAAAGAAAGCAGACAGGCGUCAGUUAAGCUCUCGGCCAGCAUGGAGUACUGCAUUGAGCACCGUCGCGUCCGUCGGCUGUCAGAGAGAAACAGGCCGUAGCCAGCAGGACGAGGUGAAGCCCGGCGUUUGCUCAGUGGGAUGGUUAAAGGAGAGCUCCAUCCGCACGGGAGGAGACACCUGUAAAAGCACCCCAAGGAUUCUGACAACAAGGUAGUAGCAGUUUUAGCUACGACUGGGGCUUGUGGUUUCCAGGCCAGAACUGUACCUCCGUCAGGCUUUCGCCAUUUGCUCGGAAGUAGGUAACAAUCAAAGUAACUCAGGCUGGAAAUAAGUAUGAUUCCGUAAAACCUGGGUUGGGAGCAGAGACCUGGAUUUUGAUGCGACGACGCAAACAAAAACGACAGAAUUUUACAGCCUCCCUUAAAAAGAUACGACGGAAAGACAUUGGCCGUGUGACCUUUCACGCCCACAUGCCAGCCGGGAGUCACGCCAUAUUCUACCGCGGCUUAAGGACUAAUUUACACUCUGGGCUGGCGCCGCCGUAGACCAGACGUGCACUGGGCAGAUCGUUAUCUGUUUCGCUGCCAGCUGAUGGGAGCAUUAUCCCAGCUUUGAACCCGUUACCUUCAUGUCGGCUUGCGAUGGCACACAUCAGAUCGAUACCCCCUCGGAAUCUUCAGUUUCACAUAUAAUCCGUUCCUUAAUAGUGAAACCUAUAAUCGUAGUUUAUCUCGACAAGCCCGUCUUAAACAUUUGCCCGCUGGAUCUCGGCCGGACAUAGCAGAAGCUUCAAACAAUAAGAGGAGAAGAUAAAAUAUCCCCACAUAAUCCUGCACUCAACAUAGAUGGAAGAUGGAUGGAUGGAUGGAGAACAUAUCUUGUGGGCUGAAGAUGAAAUGUCAGGGUGUUUUGCAGUAAAAACACUGCUGUAUCCUUGAUUUUUCAUCCAGUGAGUUCCAAAAGAUGAAAGAUCUAAAUUAAGGCUGAAUUAAUAGGCAAAACCAUGGAAAUGUUUUAAUACAUUGGCUGUGAUCCAUUUUGGGCCUUUUCUAUUCAUCGUGAAUAUUAAGGCCUGGAAAUGGCUCUUUCUUAACUGCAAAAUAAAAGAUAAAAAUGGUU